rnacentral:rRNA from 1 species
ACACCAACANGGAUUNCCCUAAUAACGGNGAGUGAAGCGGCAACAGCUCAAAUUUGAAAUCUGGCCUCGGCCCGAGUUGUAAUUUGCAGAGGAUGCUUCUGGCGCGGUGCCUUCCGAGUUCCCUGGAACGGGACGCCACAGAGGGUGAGAGCCCCGUAUGGUCGGACACCAAGCCUGUGUGAAGCUCCUUCGACGAGUCGAGUAGUUUGGGAAUGCUGCUCUAAAUGGGAGGUAAAUCUCUUCUAAAGCUAAAUACCGGCCAGAGACCGAUAGCGCACAAGUAGAGUGAUCGAAAGAUGAAAAGCACCUUGAAAAGGGGGUUAAAUAGUACGUGAAAUUGUUGAAAGGGAAGCACUUGUGACCAGACUUGGGCCGGGCGGCUCAUCAGGGGUUCUCCCCUGUGCACUCCGCCCGGCACAGGCCAGCAUCGGUUCCCGUGGGGGGAUAAGACCGCCGGGAACGUAGCACCCUCCGGGGUGUGUUAUAGCCCGGNGGACGANACCCCCGUGGGGACCGAGGUUCGC